rnacentral:rRNA from 1 species
GACGAACGCUGGCGGCGUGCUUAACACAUGCAAGUCGAACGGAAAGGCCCUGCUUUUGUGGGGUGCUCGAGUGGCGAACGUGUGAGUAACACGUGAGUAACCUGCCCUUGACUUUGGGAUAACUUCAGGAAACUGGGGCUAAUACCGCAUAUGAGCUCCUGCUGCAUGGUGGGGGUUGGAAAGUUUCGGCGGUUGGGGAUGGACUCGCGGCUUAUCAGCUUGUUGGUGGGGUAGUGGCUUACCAAGGCUUUGACGGGUAGCCGGCCUGAGAGGGUGACCGGCCACAUUGGGACUGAGAUACGGCACAGACUCCUACGGGAGGCAGCAGUGGGGAAUAUUGCACAAUGGGCGGAAGCCUGAUGCAGCAACGCCGCGUGCGGGAUGACGGCCUUCGGGUUGUAAACCGCUUUCGCCUGUGACGAAGCGUGAGUGACGGUAAUGGGUAAAGAAGCACCGGCUAACUACGUG